rnacentral:lncRNA from 1 species
AAAAAGAAAUUUCGGUGAAGUGGAAUGUUUCAGAAUACGGCCCCAGUAAACCAUGUCAGCAUGCAUGCACACAGUAGGACACGUUUCACUGUGUCUAAAGUCCCCAUCCUUAGAUUAGCCAUGCCCAGAAGGCUUCUCAAGCCGUAUAUCUCUGUAUAGUCAACUAGUUAUAUAAGUCAAACACUAUGUAUAUAACAAUUCAGGUUGGCUACACACUGGGCUAGUUG